CCGUCGGUCUCUGAGUCCAGGACCGAGCCGUGAUUCAAAGAGCUACCUGGAAGCUUCUCCCGGCGGGGGCGAGCCUUCGGCUGAGAGCAGGGUCACGUUUCUCGAAAGCACCUGCCCGCCGCAGUUUCGGAAAGGAGACUACACCUCGCGACACCGACGGCAAGAUUUAGAGGAAGAUACGGCUCGGCAGACGGCCCUGGCGCGGCUCAGACUUCAGCGUGUGCACGAGUCACGUGAUAAAUUCAAAACCUGAAAGAGAAAAGUAACGAAG
rnacentral:lncRNA from 1 species